CAAUAGCGUAUAUUAAAGUUGUUGCGGUUAAAAAGCUCGUAGUUGGAUCUCGGCAGGCAGGGGGUGGUUCGCUCUUAGCGCUACUGCCCCAUUUGCCUGUGUGAUUGGCGGAGGUUUCGGGGUGCUCUUCGUUGAGUGACCCGGGGCGCCGUCAGGUUUACUUUGAAAAAAUUAGAGUGCUCAAAGCAGGCUUUUCACGCUUGAAUAUUCGUGCAUGGAAUAAUGGAAUAGGAGCUCGUUUCUAUUUUGUUGGUUUUCGGAAAUCGAGUUAAUGAUUAAUAGGGACAAUUGGGGGCAUUAGUAUUCAGACGACAGAGGUGAAAUUCUUGGACCGUCUGAAGACUAACUACUGCGAAAGCAUUUGCCAAGAGUGUUUUCAUUAA
rnacentral:rRNA from 1 species